rnacentral:rRNA from 1 species
UACGAAGGGUGCAAGCGUUACUCGGAAUUACUGGGCGUAAAGGGUGCGUAGGUGGUUUUUUAAGUCCGUUGUGAAAUCCCUGGGCUCAACCUGGGAACGGCAGUGGAUACUGGAAAGCUAGAGUGCGGUAGAGGGUAGUGGAAUUCCCGGUGUAGCAGUGAAAUGCGUAGAGAUCGGGAGGAACACCAGUGGCGAAGGCGGCUACCUGGACCAGCACUGACACUGAGGCACGAAAGCGUGGGGAGCAAACAGG